ACGUAGGGGACAAGCGUUAUCCGGAUUUACUGGGCGUAAAGCGCGCGUAGGCGGCCUGACAAGUUGGACGUGAAAGCUCCUGGCUUAACUGGGAGAGGCCGUUCAAAACUGUCAAGCUAGAGUCUGGAAGAGGAGAGCGGAAUUCCCGGUGUAGUGGUGGAAUGCGUAGAGAUCGGGAGGAACACCAGUGGCGAAAGCGGCUCUCUGGGACGGUACUGACGCUGAGACGCGAAAGCGUGGGGAGCGAACAGG
rnacentral:rRNA from 1 species